UAAUCUACAUAAGUGCUACAUUUGAGGGGUUAAAAACAAACCCCACUACAUUUAAUUUUGCACAGAAAUUGCCAAAUUAUUUUAACUAACUUUGAGGCCUCAGAAUUCUCAUCUGUGAAAUAAGGAGAUUGGAUCAGAUAAUUUCUAAGGUCAUUUUGAGCUCUAAAAUUGUAUAAUUCCAUUACUGAGAAAGUGCCUGAACAUAGAGAUACCCAAUACAUAUUUCUAAAGAUUUGUUGCAUGAAUGAAAUCUUGUGCUGCUUCUAAAACACUAUGAUUUUUGUGAGAUAGUUUCCUUUUCCCCUUCAUUACCAAUGCUUUAGAAGACUUACUUCUGCAUAGGCAUUUCUGGAUUUGCGUACCCACCUACCAACCUUCCCUCCCCUGAAAACUUUUCAGAUGCUUCUUCAUUGUUUUAGUCAUUUAUCACUUUAAUGAAUUCUCUGGCAACUUUAUUGUGAUGGGUGGGGAUCAAUGACAGUGUAAUGAGGCAAUUACCAAAUUCUGAUAGUUCCAUCUACUCCGUGUGAAAGUCUCUUGAUGUUUUAUAUGGUACCCUUAUCAAUAAUCCCAGAGAGCAGGGGUUGGCAAACUAUGGCCCAUGGGCUAAAAUGGUUUUUACAUUUUAAAAGGGUUGAAAAAUUUAAAAAUGGAAGGAUACAUGACAGAGACUGGAUGGCCUACAAUGCCUAACAUAUUAUCUAGCCCUUUACAGAAAAAAACGUACCAAUCCUUAUGAGACCAGACUUGCAAAAAUCACAGUAACAGAGUGAAAAACCUUCCUGAAGUGUUAGGAGGAACUUGAGUCAUAAUUUGAUGUUGAAUCAGAGAGAACAAGUGUUUGGGCUUAUUUGCCUCAGAGUAUUUGCCCAGCCUCUGGUAACUAUCAUUCUAUUCUCUACCAACUUUCUUAGCUCCCACAUAUGAAUGAGAACAUGCAAUGUUUGUCUUUCUGUGCCUGACUUAUUUCAGUUAACAUCGUGACCUCCAGUUGCAUCCAUGUUGCUGCAAAUGGGAUUCUGAAUGUGUCGCUGGACUAAGAUAGGAAGAAUGUUUGCCUUGAGGCUGAUGAUAGUAACCACCCCACCCACCAUCAUCUAUUAAGGAUUUACUGUGUGGUCACUUUACAGUCAUCCAAGUAAAUUUCCAUAAUCACCUGAUAAGAUGGGUACCACUUUUCAGAAAAAGAAACAUUUCUGGAAGGAUUCAGAAUCCAUAGCUAGAAGAGGUAAUAGGCCAUUGGGAGGGCCUGCUUCUCCUCAGCCUGCCCCCACCCCGUGUGGGUCUCCAUUCUGAAAUUUCCAUUUAGAUGACCCGGUCCUAGGCAGGGACCAAAAUUCCUUGUCAGCUGAGGAAGUCCUGAAGAAACACCCUGAAGAUGAUGACUGCACUGCCAUUGUGGGCAGAUGCACCUUCCAUCUACCUGAGGGCUGAAGGGGAAACCCUUUCACACACGUGAGGAAGGCGCAGCUCUGUGGAAAGGUCACCAGAAUGGCAGCGGCAGCAAAUAGGGCUCCAAUGCACGUUUGCACUUAACUGGGUCCAGGGAGAGCACGGCCCUCCACAGCAAGUUUGCUCUAUAGAAUAAAGUCCUGAGCUUGUUUUUAUCACAGUUAGACAGAGAAUGGUCUCAUGUUUCUCAGUUAUCCGGGGAAGACCAGUGUAUAUUCUCUGUAGAUGAGUGUUGUCUAAUGUAGUGAUUCAUCUCUGCUAGUGUUAGGAAAGCUCCACUACUGUGUGUGUGUAUGUGUGUGUGUCUGUGCACAGGCGCAUGUGCACACACUGCAAUCUUGACUUUCCAAUUACAAAAUGCCUAAGUCAGGUCACAUUGUCUUCUUCCAGCCAGUUUCUAAGGCAGGCAAUGGAAACAGGAGCCGAUGCCAAAUGGUCUAGAGGCAGAAGGGCCGCAUGCUUUGCAGGGCCAGCUCCAAGGCUGCCUUCCAGAGCUGCUCUUUCUCAGGGGAGAGUAAACUCUCACUGCAGCUGCCAGCCCCCUGUGCUCGGGCGGGGGUCGCCCCUCACAUGGACUUAGAAUCCGUGUCUCUCUUGCUGAUGAGCACCUCCAGGAGCCUCAGUUUUGCCUUUAUGUGCUUGUAUUCACUGUAUUCUUCAGCCAUAGGAGUGCGGUCUUCCUUCUGGACAUUUCUAAUGCAAAUAAAGGAAAAAAGGGUCUGAGGAUCAUUUCCUGUCUUUGUUAGAUACUAUUCAUCGGGCAAAUUAUCAUUGUGUGUAGAAACAUUGCAGUUUAUCAACUUGUACAAUCAGUGUUGCCAAGUGGCCCUUGGUCUUAAGACUGGAGCUGGAUUUAGACAAAUAAUGAAAAUGUUUCACCCAGAAGGCAUCAUGCAACUGAGUUUUUAUAUAAUUAAUCUGGCAUCUUGUAUGACAAGAAGGCUAAGAAAUGCAGACAUUCUCUCUAAGUAUGAAUUCACAUUGAGCUCUCAUACACCAAAAUCCUUUAUUCAUAAUUAAUGUUUUCUCAUUCUUAUAUAUUUCAUCUCGUGAACUUUUAAAUUUUUAAUUAGCAACUAGUCCAUCCACAACUUAGUUUUUUUUUUUUUUCAAAAACAGAUAGUACUCCUGCUUAUCAUAAAACAGUCUUAGAAUUCAGCAGCUAGAUUCCAUAAUACUACUAUAAUAAGCCUUUAUAUUAUAUUUGAGUAACUUUCCAUGCAUCCUAUUUAUAUGCACAAGUAUUCGAGAGCUUAUAGGUCAAGCCCUGUGAUAAGUACUUUGUACCCAUGAUCUAAUAUAACCCUUAUAACACCUUGAUGAGACGGAGCCAUUUCUAUACUACACAUGUUGAAACCAGCACGGGAAAUCAGAUAACUUGCCUGCUCUUGGCCACUAUGCGGUGUGCGCUGCUGCUUUGCGUUUUAUGGGAAAUUGCACAUGGCAGACAUUCAAACGUAGGCUCCCUGCCUUUAUUAUUAAAGGGCAAAUGUGGGUAAGGAGGAUAGCAUGGGGCUUAAAUUGUUCAAUGAAUUAAAAAUAAACCAAUCUUAUUCAUACCCUGCCUUGUUCUAGGAAAGGAUUCUAUCUAGUGGUUUCUCAGGGGGCAGGCAAGGAACAGGUGCUCAGGAAUUGGAGCAUCUGGAACGCAGGCCCCCACUGUACUCUGAGGGGCUUCACUCUCCUCAGACAUGAAGUCAUGGGACCAGAGUUUAUCUCCAAGUCCCUCAUAGUUCUAAACAUUUUUGACAAUUAAGUUAAUGUCCUCCAUUGACAUUUUCUUAAAACCUGGGCGUUGCAUAAUUCUACAUGUUUCCUCGUGUAUAAGAUAUCUGUGCAUAAUGUGACUUAGAAUAUAAAAAAGGAUAAACGAAAAAAUAGGCUUAGAUGAAAGAUUGGAAAGAUACACAUCAAAACAUUAAUUCUGAUUUGUCUUUGGUUAUUAUUUUGGGAAUUACUACUUAAAUUUGCUUACCUAUAUUUUCUAAAUACUCUGCAAUGGGUGGGAAAUGAAAAGCAAAUGUUUAGGCAUAAAAAUAUGAGACAUAUCUAAAUCAGAGAUCCUAAAAGUAAAUUUACACAAUAAUUGUUAAACUAAACUGAAAUACAAUGUAUUUUAAAUG